rnacentral:rRNA from 1 species
UAGGGAAUCUUCCACAAUGGGCGAAAGUCUGAUGGAGCAACGCCGCGUGAGUGAAGAAGGGUUUCGGCUCGUAAAACUCUGUUGUUAAAGAAGAACAUAUCUGAGAGUAACUGUUCAGGUAUUGACGGUAUUUAACCAGAAAGCCACGGCUAACUACGUGCUAG